rnacentral:rRNA from 1 species
GGGUUGUGAGGUUAAGCGACUAAGCGUACACGGUGGAUGCCCUGGCAGUCAGAGGCGAUGAAGGACGUGCUAAUCUGCGAAAAGCGUCGGUAAGGUGAUAUGAACCGUUAUAACCGGCGAUGUCCGAAUGGGGAAACCCAGUGUGAUUCGUCACACUAUCGUUAACUGAAUACAUAGGUUAACGAGGCGAACCGGGGGAACUGAAACAUCUAAGUACCCCGAGGAAAAGAAAUCAACCGAGAUUCCCCCAGUAGCGGCGAGCGAACGGGGAGCAGCCCAGAGUCUGAAUCAGCUUGUGUGUUAGUGGAACGGUCUGGAAAGUCCGACGGUACAGGGUGAUAGUCCCGUACACCAAAAUGCACAGGCUGUGAACUCGAAGAGUAGGGCGGGACACGUGGUAUCCUGUCUGAAUAUGGGGGGACCAUCCUCCAAGGCUAAAUACUCCUGACUGACCGAUAGUGAACCAGUACCGUGAGGGAAAGGCGAAAAGAACCCCGGCGAGGGGAGUGAAAAAGAACCUGAAACCGUGUACGUACAAGCAGUGGGAGCACCUUCGGGUGUGACUGCGUACCUUUUGUAUAAUGGGUCAGCGACUUAUAUUCUGUAGCAAGGUUAACCGUAUAGGGGAGCCGCAGGGAAACCGAGUCUUAACUGGGCGUUAAGUUGCAGGGUAUAGACCCGAAACCCGGUGAUCUAGCCAUGGGCAGGUUGAAGGUUGGGUAACACUAACUGGAGGACCGAACCGACUAAUGUUGAAAAAUUAGCGGAUGACUUGUGGCUGGGGGUGAAAGGCCAAUCAAACCGGGAGAUAGCUGGUUCUCCCCGAAAGCUAUUUAGGUAGCGCCUCGUGAACUCAUCUUCGGGGGUAGAGCACUGUUUCGGCUAGGGGGUCAUCCCGACUUACCAACCCGAUGCAAACUACGAAUACCGAAGAAUGUUAUCACGGGAGACACACGGCGGGUGCUAACGUCCGUCGUGAAGAGGGAAACAACCCAGACCGCCAGCUAAGGUCCCAAAGUCAUGGUUAAGUGGGAAACGAUGUGGGAAGGCACAGACAGCCAGGAUGUUGGCUUAGAAGCAGCCAUCAUUUAAAGAAAGCGUAAUAGCUCACUGGUCGAGUCGGCCUGCGCGGAAGAUGUAACGGGGCUAAACCAUGCACCGAAGCUGCGGCAGCGACACUAUGUGUUGUUGGGUAGGGGAGCGUUCUGUAAGCCUGCGAAGGUGACCUGUGAGGGUUGCUGGAGGUAUCAGAAGUGCGAAUGCUGACAUAAGUAACGAUAAAGCGGGUGAAAAGCCCGCUCGCCGGAAGACCAAGGGUUCCUGUCCAACGUUAAUCGGGGCAGGGUGAGUCGACCCCUAAGGCGAGGCCGAAAGGCGUAGUCGAUGGGAAACAGGUUAAUAUUCCUGUACUUGGUGUUACUGCGAAGGGGGGACGGAGAAGGCUAUGUUAGCCGGGCGACGGUUGUCCCGGUUUAAGCAUGUAGGCUGAUUAUCCAGGCAAAUCCGGAUAAUCAAGGCUGAGGUGUGAUGACGAGGCACUACGGUGCUGAAGUAACAAAUGCCCUGCUUCCAGGAAAAGCCUCUAAGCAUCAGGUAACAUCAAAUCGUACCCCAAACCGACACAGGUGGUCAGGUAGAGAAUACCAAGGCGCUUGAGAGAACUCGGGUGAAGGAACUAGGCAAAAUGGUGCCGUAACUUCGGGAGAAGGCACGCUGGUGUGUAGGUGAAGUCCCUGCGGAUGGAGCUGAGACCAGUCGAAGAUACCAGCUGGCUGCAACUGUUUAUUAAAAACACAGCACUGUGCAAACACGAAAGUGGACGUAUACGGUGUGACGCCUGCCCGGUGCCGGAAGGUUAAUUGAUGGGGUUAUCCGUAAGGAGAAGCUCUUGAUCGAAGCCCCGGUAAACGGCGGCCGUAACUAUAACGGUCCUAAGGUAGCGAAAUUCCUUGUCGGGUAAGUUCCGACCUGCACGAAUGGCGUAAUGAUGGCCAGGCUGUCUCCACCCGAGACUCAGUGAAAUUGAACUCGCUGUGAAGAUGCAGUGUACCCGCGGCAAGACGGAAAGACCCCGUGAACCUUUACUAUAGCUUGACACUGAACAUUGAGCCUUGAUGUGUAGGAUAGGUGGGAGGCUUUGAAGCGUGGACGCCAGUCUGCGUGGAGCCAACCUUGAAAUACCACCCUUUAAUGUUUGAUGUUCUAACGUUGGCCCCUGACCGGGGUUGCGGACAGUGUCUGGUGGGUAGUUUGACUGGGGCGGUCUCCUCCCAAAGCGUAACGGAGGAGCACGAAGGUUAGCUAAUCCUGGUCGGACAUCAGGAGGUUAGUGCAAUGGCAUAAGCUAGCUUGACUGCGAGCGUGACGGCGCGAGCAGGUGCGAAAGCAGGUCAUAGUGAUCCGGUGGUUCUGAAUGGAAGGGCCAUCGCUCAACGGAUAAAAGGUACUCCGGGGAUAACAGGCUGAUACCGCCCAAGAGUUCAUAUCGACGGCGGUGUUUGGCACCUCGAUGUCGGCUCAUCACAUCCUGGGGCUGAAGUAGGUCCCAAGGGUAUGGCUGUUCGCCAUUUAAAGUGGUACGCGAGCUGGGUUUAGAACGUCGUGAGACAGUUCGGUCCCUAUCUGCCGUGGGCGCUGGAGAAUUGAGGGGGGCUGCUCCUAGUACGAGAGGACCGGAGUGGACGCAUCACUGGUGUUCGGGUUGUCAUGCCAAUGGCACUGCCCGGUAGCUAAAUGCGGAAGAGAUAAGUGCUGAAAGCAUCUAAGCACGAAACUUGCCCCGAGAUGAGUUCUCCCUGAGACUUUAAGUCUCCUGAAGGAACGUUGAAGACGACGACGUUGAUAGGCCGGGUGUGUAAGCGCAGCGAUGCGUUGAGCUAACCGGUACUAAUGAACCGUGAGGCUUAACCUUACAACGCCGAAG